rnacentral:rRNA from 1 species
GACGAACGCUGGCGGCGUGCCUAAUACAUGCAAGUCGAACGCAUUUUCUUUCACCGUAGCUUGCUACACCGAAAGAAAAUGAGUGGCGAACGGGUGAGUAACACGUGGGUAACCUGCCCAUCAGCGGGGGAUAACAAUUGGAAACAGGUGCUAAUACCGCAUAAUUCCAUUUACCGCAUGGUAGAUGGAUGAAAGGCGCUUUUGCGUCACUGAUGGAUGGACCCGCGGUGCAUUAGCUAGUGGGUGGGGUAACGGCCUACCAAGGCUGCGAUGCAUAGCCGACCUGAGAGGGUGAUCGGCCGCACUGGGACUGAGACACGGCCCAGACUCCUACGGGAGGCAGCAGUAGGGAAUCUUCGGCAAUGGACGCAAGUCUGACCGAGCAACGCCGCGUGAGUGAAGAAGGUUUUCGGAUCGUAAAACUCUGUUGUUAGAGAAGAACAAGGAUGAGAGUGGAAAGUUCAUCCCUUGACGGUAUCUAAACAGAAAGCCACGGCUAACUACGUG